UUGGUUUUGCAAUAGAAAAGCAGUUCAAAGUGUUUAAACUAAACCUGGCGGCAGGUUAUGUAUGCCGUGGAGUUGAUAUGACUUAUAGCAUUCCUCAUGUGCCAAUGUUGUUGUCCAUUUGUGGCGAGGUUAAUUUGCUGAGAGCAUUGACUACUCUCAAAUCUUUCCGAUUUGUUAAUGUCCGCAUAACACAGGAAGUUGUUGAAUUCCUUUUGUCCAACUGCCCUUUACUGGAGGAAGUGUGUAUUUCAGCGUCAAUUGCUCCUGAUAGUUUGAAAGUUGCUUGUUCAUCAUCUAAGUUAAGGUCCAUGGAAAUAUCAAAUUGUGUUGCUUUGGAGACUAUGGAGGUUCAUGCUUCAGGGCUUGUGUCUUUUACAUACAUUGGACGUACUAUCGAAGUGCCUUUCAAGAAAGUUCCCCUCUUAUCUGAGCUAACUAUUGGAGGAUAUUAUGCUGAUUCUUUUAAUUUUGAUGCUCACAAGCACUCUAGCUAUUGUCGAAAUCUAAAGAAGAUUAAACUGGAAGUUUCAUUUGAGUAGCAUACAUAUACCUUCUCUCUUCUUUUCCUCAUUUGUAGUCUGCUUUCAUAUUCAAAUUAAGUUGUUAACAUGCAUUGUUUCAAAUCUUUUUAGUUAACUAGGAAAUGCUGGGUGAUUCCCGAUGUAUAUCCUCAGCUCUGCCAUCUGAAAGAGUUGGAAUUGGACAUCUCCACAGAAGAGGGUGGCCUUUGCUUCGUCACAUUCUUGACUAAGUGUUCUCCUGAGUUGUCAAAUUUAACCAUCAAGGUGCGAAUUUUCCAAUCUCUUAAGAAGAUGAUCAUUGACACAGAGGGAGAUCUUCUGCUUCAUUACUGAUCAACAAGAAGGCAAUCAUUGAGUGUGCUGAGCACCUGAAAGCAAAUUUACCUCCCGGAGCUGAAUUGUCGACAUGUGUUCCUGGUUUUACAAAGAAGCUGGAUGUCCCCAAAUGGUUUUAAACGUGCAAAUUUAUCAUGACUUGCUUAUUUUGCUACUUAAAAUUUUCAGUAUUUUAUUGGCAAAUUUGGUGGAUAGGUUAUUUAAUUUGAUGAAUUUUCACUCUUUUCUUA